rnacentral:rRNA from 1 species
CACGUAGGGUGCGAGCGUUGUCCGGAAUUAUUGGGCGUAAAGAGCGUGUAGGCGGCCAGGUAGGUCUGCUGUGAAAACUCGAGGCUUAACCUCGAGCUGUCGGCGGAAACCAUCUGGCUAGAGUCCGGAAGAGGAGAAUGGAAUUCCCGGUGUAGCGGUGAAAUGCGCAGAUAUCGGGAAGAACACCCGUGGCGAAGGCGGUUCUCUGGGACGGUACUGACGCUGAGACGCGAAAGCGUGGGGAGCGAACAGG